UACAGAGGUCCCAAGCGUUGUUCGGAUUCACUGGGCGUAAAGAGCUCGUAGGCGGUUUGUCGCGUCUGGUGUGAAAACUCAAGGCUCAACCUUGAGCUUGCAUCGGGUACGGGCAGACUAGAGUGCGGUAGGGGUGACUGGAAUUCCUGGUGUAGCGGUGGAAUGCGCAGAUAUCGGGAGGAACACCUGUGGCGAAAGCGGCGCACUGGACCACAACUGACGCUGAGGCGCGAAAGCGUGGGGAGCGAACAGG
rnacentral:rRNA from 1 species